UCAAGAACGGUUUUUUGAAAACGCUAACUUUGGAAGUUAGAAGAUGAGGUAACUCAUUUUUGAA
rnacentral:tRNA from 1 species